rnacentral:rRNA from 1 species
UACGGAGGGGGCUAGCGUUGUUCGGAAUUACUGGGCGUAAAGCGCACAUAGGCGGCUUUGUAAGUUAGAGGUGAAAGCCCAGGGCUCAACCCUGGAACUGCCUUUAAGACUGCAUCGCUUGAACAUCGGAGAGGUAAGUGGAAUUCCGAGUGUAGAGGUGAAAUUCGUAGAUAUUCGGAAGAACACCAGUGGCGAAGGCGACUUACUGGACGAUUGUUGACGCUGAGGUGCGAAAGCGUGGGGAGCAAACAGG